AAAUUGUCUUUGUUAUGACAACUUGACAGUAACCAAGAAAUCAUGAUCUGACAUAAAUUUGAUAUAAUAGUAUUACCGAUUAAAUUAAAAAAUUAUGAAGCUUUAUGUGGUAAUAUUAUAUUGCUCUGCCAUUUUGUUUAGUCUUAAAUUACUUAAUUUAAUUGAUCCUAAAGUUUUACAGCAAGAUGUCUACAUAGCACUUAUGAACUUUGCAUUUGAAACAUUCUUUAAGGCUGUUUUAAGUAGUGCAAUAAACCAUCUCCACCAGUGAGAGGCAGCAGUGCACGAACAGGCGUGCAGUGUGUUGGUGAAGAAGAAAUCUUCCAUCUUGUGGGGCCAACCUAACACAAGUGGUAACAUUUUAACAGCCAGACCUCCUGUUUACAAAGAAGCUGAAGUUUGUCACCUAAUAGUAUAAAGUAUAUGAGGUAUGUGUCUUAUUAACUUCACAUUUUCUUUGAGAAAAUAACAUUGACUAUGUUCUCUUUCUUUAUAAUGUUAACUAUGGACAAUUCAAUCCAAUCCUACCUUUCUGUAAGCUAAUGUCAGCUAAAGUUAUUAAACUCCAUAACUGUAAGGUUAGCGCUUAAUCUUAAACAUAUUUUAGAGGCAGACAAAUAGAUUUUUUCUCUCCAAUUUUAAUCUAGCAAAUUAAAAGCUAAUAUGUUAGUCAAAGUUAUCAUUUAUGUGAAUUAUUUAGCAAGUUGGCUGAUGUGACAUGGUGCUUGUGUUCUUUGCUUUGCCGACUUUGGCCACAUGAAGAACAAUUUUAGCCUAAGGAGACAUGGGGGGGGGGGCUAAUGAAGACAUGCUAUGGUGUGGAGGAUGAUAAUGAGGACCAGGCACCAGAGAAAGAAGUCAUUGUUUGACCAAAGAGGAGAUGAAAUAUUCCCCAAGAAAAUUAGGUGACCACAAUGAAUUGAGUCAUCACCCACUAUGAGAUUGUCCAGAAGAGAUUCACCAAGUUAGAAUUCAUGAAAAGGCUUUCACCAUGAUUAACAUUGACCACAAUUACUGCAAGAACAGCUAUAAUUUCUGAGCAUUCUGGACACCUUCAAAGAGCUGCUUCCAGGAAAUGAAGACAACAAGAAGAUCUCCCUGUUUUCAGAGCAUUACAGGAAGGCUAUAACGAAGUAGAUGGCUGACUGUUGAAAGAACCUAUUUUCUUAAGUUAAAGAAUAAGUAAUUCUGUUUUAGUUUUUCAAUCAGUGUUUCAGAGUUACAAUAUACUGACCAGAAGUUAAACCUUCUGUUUGAAGAACAAGUUUUAUUCCAAUGUACAAAGGGUUUGUUCUACAACUAUGAUGGUAGUUAUAAGUAGUUCAGUGUGUCCCACUUCACCUGAGACUUAAUAUCAAUGACUUUGUUAGCAUAUCAUUUGACACUAAUAACACUGAACGACAUCUUUAUAAUUGUUGCUACUAGUUUCACUUUACUUGAGGUAAGAGAUAAUAUUAAUGACUGUUAAUAUAGUAUUUGACACUGUAAUAACACUUAAUGACAUCUUCAUAACUGUUGCUACUUGUUCCACUUGAUGUAAAAGAUCCCUUUGAUAUUAAAUCAAUUUACAGUGUAAUAAAGCUUAAUGAAAUCUUUA